UGCUGAAACACCAGUUCCUGUAUGAUCACUUAAGUUAAGCAAUGUUGAGCCUGGUCAAUACCUAGAUGGGUGACCACUUGGGAAUACCAGGUAC
rnacentral:rRNA from 1 species